ACUUAAUGGGGGUUAAAGUAUUUUAAAAGAAAAAAUUAAUUAAUUUAUAGUGAAUUAGUAUUGUAAAAGAAUUUUGAAAUAAUAAAAAAUGAAAUUAGUAUUGUAAAAGAAUUUUGAAAUAAUAAAAAAUGAAAUUAAUUAUAAGUAAUUUUAAUUUGAUGUAUCUUGUGUAUCAGAGUUUAUUAAAAAAAAUUUUUAUAUAAAUAAUUCUCGAAUUUAAAAGAGAUAAUUAAUUAAAAAAGUUAUUGUUGCAUAAAUAUUUUAAAUAAUUAAUUGGAAAUGAAAUGUUAAUCGUUUUUAAAUAUAUCUAGUUUUUUUAGAAAAAAAUUUAAUUUUAAAUUUAUUUUAGAAAUAUUUAAUUAAUUAAAUAUUUCUAAAAUAAAUUUUAUAUUUUAAGGGAUAAGCUUUAAAAUAAAAUAAUAUAAUUAUUUAAAUAAUUGUUAUUGAAAAUUAUAUAAUUUAUAUUGUUAAUAAAAUUUAAUUUAUUAAAAAUAAUUUCAUUUAAAAUAAAAUUUAAAAAAAAUUUAUUUAUUUAUAAAAAAAAAUUAAAAAUUAUAAAAUAAUUAAUAUAAUGAUAAAAUUAGUAUAAAACAAUUAUUUAUAAAAAAAAAUAAUUUGAAAAUUAAUUAAAAGGAAUUCGGCAAAUAUAUAUAUUCACUUGUUUAUCAAAAACAUGUCUUUUUGAAAAUAAUAUAAAGUCUAAUCUGCCCACUGAUUUUAUAAUUAAAGGGCUGCAGUAUUUUGACUGUACAAAGGUAGCAUAAUCAUUAGUCAUUUAAUUGAUGACUUGUAUGAAAGAUUGGAUGAAAUAUAAACUGUCUCUUAAUUAAAUUAUAGAAUUUAAUUUUUUAUUUAAAAAGAUAAAAUAAAUUAAAAAGACGAGAAGACCCUAUAGAGUUUUAUAAUUAAUUUAAUUAAAAUUAUUUAUAAAUAAAUCGAUUAAAAUUAAAUUAAUUAUUUUGUUGGGGUGACAGAAAAAUUAAAAUAACUUUUUUUUUAAAAAACCAAAUAUAAUUGAAUAAAUGAUCCAAUUUUAUUGAUUAUAAGAAAAAAUUACCUUAGGGAUAACAGCGUAAUUUUUUUUUUUAGUUCAAAUAAAAAAAAGAGUUUGCGACCUCGAUGUUGGAUUAAGAUAAAAUUUAGAUGCAGAAGUUUAAAGUUUUUGAUCUGUUCGAUCAUUAAAAUCUUACAUGAUCUGAGUUCAGACCGGUGUGAGCCAGGUUGGUUUCUAUCUUUUAAAAUUUUAAAUAUUUUAGUACGAAAGGAUUGAAUAUUAAAAUUAAAUUUAAUAUUUUGAAUAUUAUUAAAAUUUAAAUAAAAUAAUAAUUUAAGAUAUAA
rnacentral:rRNA from 1 species